AUGCUGAGAGACUCAGUUGAGGUGAGGACCCCAGCCCAGGCUGCAAGGGGUGUCUACUACCUCGAAGAAGAUUGUGUGUGUAUGUGUGGAUCAGAACUCAACUGAACUUGAAAUGCCAGGCCUGCUGUUUCACACGCUCUGGACAUCAUGAAGACAGUUUUCCCUCCUAGCCUCGGCUCCUACUGUAGCAGUGAGAUGAACCUGCAUCUAAGGGGGCUU
rnacentral:lncRNA from 1 species